CGGAAUAACCUGCCGAAAGGCGGGCUAAUACUGGAUAGAUCAAGUGCAUCGUAAAGGUGCGAUUGGAAAAGGGAGCUUGAAAGAGCCUUCGCUUUAAGAUGAGCCCGCGUCUGAUUAGCUAGUUGGUGAGGUAAUGGCUCACCAAGGCAUUGAUCAGUAGCUGGUCUGAGAGGAUGAUCAGCCACACUGGAACUGAAACACGGUCCAG
rnacentral:rRNA from 1 species